rnacentral:lncRNA from 1 species
AGUGAAACCUCAUGAUAUUGGGAAGUAAAAUGAUUGAGCAGUGAGAUUCUUAAAGAGAAGCCAUAGAUACGACAAACUGAUAAAACCACUACCCCAGUUCAAGUAUGCUUUAUUAGUGCUCAGAAGGACUAGAAGAAAAAGAAAAGGACACUGAGUUCAGCCAUGAUGCUUAUUGAAACACAGAGACUGUUUGCAUAGUGCUUUAGUGUUCUCAGCAGUGAUUUUUCUUAGUCAACUACAUGUCAUAAAAAUUAUGAUAAAUAUUUACAGAGUUAAAUGAACACAUUCUGUUGUUGCAUAACUUUCCUCUUAUGACUGGGGCAGUUUACCCAGGAUAUAGUGAAGAAAGGAGGGAAAGGUGCACUAAUUCAAGACAUCCCACACAUAUUGGUUGAUUGAAUGUCCUGCUUGCUUAGGGGAGAAAAGAGAGUUUAAAAAUCAGUGUUAGGUCUGUAUCAUCUG